rnacentral:rRNA from 1 species
UACGGAGGGUGCAAGCGUUAUCCGGAUUCACUGGGUUUAAAGGGUGCGUAGGUGGGUUGGUAAGUCAGUGGUGAAAUCUCCAGGCUUAACUUGGAAACUGCCAUUGAUACUAUCAAUCUUGAAUACCGUGGAGGUCAGCGGAAUAUGUCAUGUAGCGGUGAAAAUGCUUAGAUAUGACAUAGAACACCAAUUGCGAAGGCAGCUGGCUACACGAAUAUUGACACUGAUGCACGAAAGCGUGGGGAUCAAACAGG